rnacentral:misc_RNA from 1 species
AAGUCGUAACAAGGUUUCCGUAGGUGAACCUGCGGAAGGAUCAUUAAAAAAUUUAUCCUAAAUUUUGGAUUCUACCCCAAAUGUGAUAAUUAUUGGCCUUGAAAACUUGGGGACUAAAAAUGGGUGUUUCUGGCAUGAAAAUGUUGAAAGCAUUCGGCCCCAAAACUAUCAAAACUCGCUUUAAAUUUUGACUGAAAAUAUAUAAUUUUUAUAUAAUUAUCAAUAUGAUAAUCAAAUAAAACUUUCAACAACGGAUCUCUUGGUUCUC